CUGAUUCUGUUUGAUUAAUUUUUCUAGUUUCCCUGUUUAUGUACUCUUCUUCUCUGCUUGCUUGCUCUCUCUCUCUCUCUCUCUCUCUAUCUCUCUCUAUCUUUCUCUCUCUCUCCCCUCACACCUGCAGCUCGUUUCUAAUCUAAUCAGCCAUCUUUAAUCAAGCGCCUCAUUACAACCUAUUCUCAGUCACUCCUUGGUAAAUCCCGUUACUAUCCUGUCAGUAUCCUGCCAUCUUUUCCCUUGGGUUUAUUUGUUUGUUCUGCUGUGGCUCUCAGUGGUUUUUUUGUGGGAGUGACAGCGGCAAGCCUGCAUGUCAGUCUCAACACAGGAUUUAAUUCGGUCCUGACAGACAAAGACCGGAGACGACAGGCACAUGACGAAAGCCAGUGAGCAGAACGGGUCACACCUUCCCGCUGACGCUUGUGAUAAGAGCUGCACCGAACUCACUGGAGGGGAAGACGGAGCAUCGUGUUGACUCUGCUGCACAUAAAGAUCUAAAGUCCAGACUGUCCCUCUGGGACACCAUCUGUCCCAGUGAAAGCACCACAGAGGCUGUUCUCUGGACCUGGACAUGCUUCCAGCAGGAUCCAUACCAGCCCGCCUCAGACUGGGCAGUAAAAACGGCAUGAGACGCAGAGACGUAUCCCUGGGGAGGGGAAAGUCUGAACGACCGACAGAUUCCCUGAAAUGAGUCGUAAAUCCCAACCAACGAACGCUGUGUCCCAACGCAAUCCGUCCAGAGUGUCCCUUUCUGCCUCACUGUGGGACUCUGUAAUGUCUGUCAGGGCGGUCUCUGUCCCCAGCUCCCAUGGAUCACUCUGCAGUAAGACUGUGUGUCAUAAAAAUGCUUGUUGCAAUAAUGACACAGGGAAUAAUGUGAAAGAUAUGUGCAGACUCAUAUGUGCAAAGAGAAGAAGUACAAAACUUGAAAAGUUUUAUUGGGACACUAUUUAAGCAACAAAUUUAAAUGUUUGCAUAAUUGUGAUGGAAGGGGGAAAUGAUACAUGAGCUAGAAAAUAUUUUUACAAAUAAAAAUCUGAAAUGUG